GACGAACGCUGGCGGCGUGCUUAACACAUGCAAGUCGAACGAUGAAGCCGGAGCUUGCUCUGGUGAAUUAGUGGCGAACGGGUGAGUAACACGUGAGUAACCUGCCCUUGCCUCUGGGAUAAAUGCUAGAAAUGGUAGCUAAUACCGGAUACGACCCUCGGAGGCAUCUCCAGGGGGUGGAAAGAAUUUCGGUCAAGGAUGGACUCGCGGCCUAUCAGCUAGUUGGUGAGGUAAUGGCCCACCAAGGCGACGACGGGUAGCCGGCCUGAGAGGGUGACCGGGCACACUGGGACUGAGACACGGCCCAGACUCCUACGGGAGGCAGCAGUGGGGAAUAUUGCACAAUGGGCGCAAGCCUGAUGCAGCAACGCCGCGUGAGGGAUGACGGCCUUCGGGUUGUAAACCUCUUUUAGUAGGGAAGAAGCGAAAGUGACAGUACCUGCAGAAAAAGCACCGGCUAACUACGUGCCAGCAGCCGCAGUAA
rnacentral:rRNA from 1 species